rnacentral:rRNA from 1 species
UACGAAGGGGGCUAGCGUUGCUCGGAAUCACUGGGCGUAAAGCGCACGUAGGCGGAUUGCUAAGUCAGGGGUGAAGUCCUGGAGCUCAACUCCAGAACUGCCUUUGAUACUGGCGAUCUUGAGUCCGGGAGAGGUGAGUGGAACUGCGAGUGUAGAGGUGAAAUUCGUAGAUAUUCGCAAGAACACCAGUGGCGAAGGCGGCUCACUGGCCCGGUGCUGACGCUGAGGUGCGAAAGCGUGGGGAGCAAACAGG